rnacentral:rRNA from 1 species
UCCCACCUGCCCUGUGACAUAUGUUUAACGGCCGCGGUAUUUUGACCGUGCAAAGGUAGCGCAAUCACUUGUCUUUUAAAUGAAGACCUGUAUGAAUGGUAUAACGAAGGCUUAGCUGUCUCCUUUCCCCGGUCAAUGAAAUUGAUCUCCCCGUGCAGAAGCGGGGAUAAAAACAUAAGACGAGAAGACCCUAUGGAGCUUAAGACAAAAUAGUAGUCCAUAUAAAGUAACUUCAAAUAAAAGGUUAUAUUUUUUGCCUCCUGCUUGAAUGUCUUUGGUUGGGGCGACCGCGGGGAAAUAAAUAACCCCCAUGUGGAUUGAGAGAACCUCUCCCAAAACCAAGAGUCACCACUCUAAGUAACAGAACCUCUGACCAAAAUGAUCCGGUAAACACCGAUCAACGAACCGAGUUACCCUAGGGAUAACAGCGCAAUCCCCUUCCAGAGCCCAUAUCGACAAGGGGGUUUACGACCUCGAUGUUGGAUCAGGACAUCCUAAUGGUGCAGCCGCUAUUAAGGGUUCGUUU